rnacentral:snRNA from 1 species
GUGUUUAUGGUCACCUCAGCAGCACAUAUACUAAAAUUGAAAUGAUAUAGAGAAGAUUAGCAAGGCCCCUGCAUAAGGUUGACAUGUAAAUUUGUGAAAUAGCCCAUAUGUAA